AGAGCGUGUAGUGCAAACAUAUGUAUUAUAUUUUCUGUGCUUAUUUCGUUAUACCUGCUUAUACCGUGUGCGUCUCUUGUCGUGUUAUUGUAAAUUUCGGCGUUGUUUCCUAAUACAUACGUAAGUAUAUUUUAGAUAAUGUUUGUAUGUUUUAAUAAUCAACGAAAAAAUAUUCUAAAUUAUUUCGCGUAUUUCAUAUUAUUUGAGCGUUAUUUUCGAGUUAUCCUUUGUUCGAAAUUUGAGCGUCGGUCAUGGCCAACAAAUAAGUUUUUUUUAGUAAAUUCCAAACAUUCCUGUUCAUCGCGGCGUCCGAUUCGAAGCAUUUUAUACAUAACUUAAAGCUACAUUUAAUAAAUUAUAUAUAUGUAUAAUUUGAUAAAAUGUAAUUGUAGUAUGCUGGUGUGUUCUCAUGAUAUGUACAUAUUUGUAUUUAUUAUUUUUAACAUAAAAUGCCACAUAAAUGUGCCAUGGCAGACUGCAUGCGUAAAGCAGGAAAUGCUGGAGUAAUAUUGUUUUCAUUACCGAAAAAUCCUGCUAUAUGAGACAAGUGGCUCCAGUUUGCGAACAUUGAUGCCAGAGAAAAUAGGAGCAUUCGCAUAUGUAAUUUAAUAUUUAAAUAAUUUUAAUUUUUAACUAAUUUAAAAACUUAAUUGUAUAAUCGCGAAUACAUAUUUUAAAGAAUAUAUUGUAUGUUUAUACUGUACAAUAA